rnacentral:rRNA from 1 species
AUUGAACGCUAGCGGCAUGCUUUACACAUGCAAGUCGAACGGCAGCGGGGAGUAGCUUGCUACUCUGCCGGCGAGUGGCGAACGGGUGAGUAAUGCAUCGGGACGUUCCCAGUAGUGGGGGAUAACUUAGCGAAAGCUCGGCUAAUACCGCAUACGCACUGAGGUGGAAAGCGGGGGAUUGCAUGUCAUCCCGCUUAUGGCGCGACCGAUGUGCGAUUAGCUAGUUGGUGGGGUAAAGGCCUACCAAGGCGACGAUCGGUAGCUGGUCUGAGAGGACGACCAGCCACACUGGGACUGAGACACGGCCCAGACUUCUACGGAAGGCAGCAGUGGGGAAUUUUGGACAAUGGGCGAAAGCCUGAUCCAGCCAUGCCGCGUGAGUGAAGAAGGCCUUCGGGUUGUAAAGCUCUUUUGGCGGGGAAGAAAUAGCGUGGGCUAAUACCCUGCGUUGAUGACGGUACCCGCAGAAUAAGCACCGGCUAACUACGUGCCAGCCGCCGCGGUAA